rnacentral:tRNA from 1 species
UGUGGGUAGCUCAGUAGUGAAGUGCUUGCCCAGCAUGCAAGAGGCCCUGGGUUAGAUCCCCAGCACCACAA